GUGCUUGCUUCGGCAGCACAUGUACUAAAAUUGGAACGAUACAGAGAAGAUUAGCAUGGCCCCUGCACAAGGAUGACACACAAAUUCGUGAAGUGAAAUGACAUAUA
ensembl:snRNA U6 U6 spliceosomal RNA